UAACGUAUAACAAGAUGUAUGUUUUUUGGAGACCUUCUUUGAUGGUUGAACUAAUUUCCUUUUCAGACAGAAUAUACCUUAAUGAAGAAACAGAAAUCUGUUCUCGGUGACCAGAAUCAUUCCAGCUUCAAUGAGUGUGAGAGCUGAAUUAUGCAGUUACAAUCUGGGGAAACAGAAGCCCAGGCAAAGUCAAAUCCUAUUGAAUUUGGACUGUCUCUUUCUUUCUGUUUUUGGUGAGCAAGAAAAUUCUGGAUUUACUCACUUAAUAAACACUAUACCCUUUGAACAGCUUCUGUUUAUAGUGUAUUUGAAACUUUGAGUUGGAUUAGCUGUGGUGUAUAAAUUUGAACAAAACGG
rnacentral:lncRNA from 1 species